UGGGGAAUAUUGGACAAUGGGGGCAACCCUGAUCCAGCAAUGCCGCGUGUGUGAAGAAGGCCUUCGGGUUGUAAAGCACUUUUAUCGGGAACGAAACAUUGUCGGCCAAUACCCGGCAAGACUGACGGUACCCGAGGAAUAAGCACCGGCUAACUCCGUGCCAGCAGCCGCGGUAAUACGGAGGGUGCAAGCGUUAAUCGGAAUUACUGGGCGUAAAGCGUGCGCAGGCGGUUUGUUAAGUCUGCUGUGAAAUCCCCGAGCUCACCUUGGGAAUUGCAGUGGAUACUGGCAAGCUGGAGUACGGUAGAGGAAGGUGGAAUUCCCGGUGUAGCAGUGAAAUGCGUAGAGAUCGGGAGGAACACCAGUGUCGAAGGCGGCCUUCUGGACCAGUACUGACGCUCAUGCACGAAAGCGUGGGGAGCAAACA
rnacentral:rRNA from 1 species